CGUUCGAAAUUGAAAGGCGGCUUCGGCUGUCACUUAUGGAUGGACCCGCGUCGCAUUAGCUAGUUGGUGAGGUAACGGCUCACCAAGGCAACGAUGCGUAGCCGACCUGAGAGGGUGAUCGGCCACACUGGGACUGAGACACGGCCCAGACUCCUACGGGAGGCAGCAGUAGGGAAUCUUCCGCAAUGGACGAAAGUCUGACGGAGCAACGCCGCGUGAGUGAUGAAGGCUUUCGGGUCGUAAAACUCUGUUGUUAGGGAAGAACAAGUGCUAGUUGAAUAAGCUGGCACCUUGACGGUACCUAACCAGAAAGCCACGGCUAACUACGUGCCAGCAGCCGCGGUAAUACGUAGGUGGCAAGCGUUAUCCGGAAUUAUUGGGCGUAAAGCGCGCGCAGGUGGUUUCUUAAGUCUGAUGUGAAAGCCCACGGCUCAACCGUGGAGGGUCAUUGGAAACUGGGAGACUUGAGUGCAGAAGAGGAAAGUGGAAUUCCAUGUGUAGCGGUGAAAUGCGUAGAGAUAUGGAGGAACACCAGUGGCGAAGGCG
rnacentral:rRNA from 1 species